rnacentral:rRNA from 1 species
AGUCAAUAGAUACCCUGGUAGUCCACGCCGUAAACGAUGAGUACUAGGUGUAGGAGGUAUCGACUCCUUCUGUGCCGCAGUUAACACAAUAAGUACUCCGCCUGGGAAGUACGGUCGCAAGAUUAAAACUCAAAGGAAUUGACGGGGGCCCGCACAAGCAGCGGAGCAUGUGGUUUAAUUCGAAGCAACGCGAAGAACCUUACCUAGACUUGACAUCUCCUGAAUAGCGCAGAGAUGCGUGAAGCCCUUCGGGGCGAGGAAGACAGGUGGUGCAUGGUUGUCGUCAGCUCGUGUCGUGAGAUGUUAGGUUAAGUCCCGCAACGAGCGCAA